AGAAAGGGGCUAGGGCUUCCGAGGGAGACGGAGGGGGGGAGAGAGAGAGGAGAAUGGAGACGAAGAGGCGAGAAAUCACUUGUACUACUAAAAAAUGGAAAGUUUACGGACAAUCCACUGUUGCCUCUUCCUAAGAAGGCCAAGAAGAUCCUUGUAGCUGGGAGCCAUGCCGACAACUUGGGCUGUCAGUGUGGAGGAUGGACUAUCACUUGGCAAGGACGCAGUGGGAACAAUCUAACAAUUGGAACCACAAUCCUUGAUGCCAUCAAGGCCAUUGUUGACACCACCACCAAGGUUGUCUACUCUGGAAAAUUAUCGAAGUGGAAUCUAGAUUAAGCUACAAGACCUAACAAGUGUUCACGUAUGAGAAGAAAAACACAAGCAACAGUGCACUUUUCUAUUUUUCCUUUUUUUAUUGAGGUUAACAAGAAAUGUUACUAACAUCUCUUUUCUUCGUUAGAAUCAUAAAGCAUAAAUUCGACUGUCUAACAAAUGUUUGUCCUUUACAUAAUCAAACAAAUAGAUCUGAUUUUUCUUUUCCCCCUUUAAUGGUAAAACACCAAAAAUACUGUGUUCAACAAGAAUGUCAAAUAUAGGAGAUAGUAGAUAUGAUACUACCAUAAAGUUUUCCUCAUAAUAAAAAAAGAAAGAUAGUACCAUAAACUAGAAAGCAUGAAAAAAAUAAUUAGCUGUCACUUCAAAUACUUACUAGAAGCCCUAAUUGUGAGAGAAACUUGAAUACGAAGAGCAUUUUAAGCCCUUUCAAUCUAAUUAUUUCAACACAAAUUUCUUAUCUUAUUUCAGACUAUAAACAUGCAGCGAAGGGGAAAAAUAUAUAAGACCGCCUGUUGCUUUCGCAUUCAAAUGAAAAAUAAAAAUGUAAGGACUCGCAGGCCUGAAUGAGGUGAAGGUUAGUAGGGUCUUCUCGUGGGUUGCUCAAAAAACAAAAAGAAAAAAGAAAAAAACUAAGGUGGUUCAUAGGAGGAGGCUUGCAGGUUUACUUUCCAUGUCAAUUGCCCAGUGAUUUGUCAUUUAACUAUAACUAGUCUAUGCACAAGGUUGACACAGUGGCAGUUCACUUAAUAUCCUGCAUGCACACAUAUGGCAGCAGAUAUCAGGAGGUAUUCCCAUAGACUGUAGGAGUGACAUCAUUGUUGAUUUCUGAACCAAUUCGGCCAAAGAUUGAAAAGUCAGCUAUAUCUUUUUAUAUGAUUCGUGAGUGCCAUUAAUUAUUGAAAACUAUUCACAAAUCACAAUCAGCACAACAUUCUAGAAUGGGGCUGUCUCGUAAAAAUAUCAGCUCAAUGUGCUACAGAUGGCCCUGUCCAGAUUGGGUUGAAAAGUUUUUGUUCACAUGAAACAGACAUCCUUCUAACAUUCUAGUUUUCUCUAACUGUUCCACUAUCAUAUCUAAAUAUUAUGGCGUUAUAAAUGUGAAAGAUCUUAACAUGAGCAUUUCUUAUUCGUCAGUGUCAAAGUUCCUCAUAGUUGUAUGGCCUCAUCUAGCAUAUAUCGGUAGAGCCAAAUUUGUCAUUUUCUUUGUUGUUCAAUUUAAAGCCCUUCUUGGGUCCUAAAUCUUAGAUACAGAAACCAGCUUUGUAGCAAACCAGAGUCCUUUUAGCCUAAAUGGCUUCUCCCCUCUGUUUCAAUGGUGAAACAUAGGGAGAAAAGAACGGAGAAUGCGAGCCCAACCAGGCCCGGCCCAAGCCCAGUGGCCAAUCCGGGCCGAGCCCAGGCACCCAGGGCACUGCAGGCUCAGCCGCGGUUGCCCUAGGGUACCCCGACGCGGCCGCAGGGCCGUCAGGCCCUGGCCGAGUCCCACCUCCCUCCGGUGAGGAGGUGGUGGCGCCACCACAGAGGGAGGAGGUGAAAAAGAGAAUAAAAGAAAAUAAAGAAAGAAAAAGAGGGGGGAAAAAGAGAGGAUCGUACCUGGGUCUCUCGCGCCUCCUUCUCGGUCACGGUGGUUCUCCUCCUCCGCCGUGGCCGGAUCGGGGUAAGGGAGGUCCCCGGAGACAAACUCACUCCGGCAUCACUUCGGAGGAAGUUUAGCCCCUCCCUCUCCCACUGCUCCCACCCUGGAGAAGGGCACCCCUCGGCCGCAGUCGCCGGAGCGGCUGCAGGCCGAGGAAGCGUCGGCCUCCUCAGGGGAGCUCCCAAGGGCUCGGCCCCACCUCGGGGACCCCGUUCGACUCCUCCGGCACCACUUCGGAGGAGGUCCAGGGCCUUCCCUUCUGCCGCUCCGAGGUAGGAGCAUCUCCCGGAGGAGGCUCACCCCACGGUGGCACGGCGAGAGGGAGAAGAGGAAGGGGGAGAAGCAAAGAGAGAGGAAGGAUGGGAGAAGGGCUCGGCCGGAGGUGAAAGAAGAAGAAAGAAAGGGGCUAGGGCUUCCGAGGGAGACGGAGGGGGGGAGAGAGAGAGGAGAAUGGAGACGAAGAGGCGAGAAAUCACUUGUACUACUAAAAAAUGGAAAGUUUACGGACAAUCCACUGUUGCCACUUCCUAAGAAGGCCAAGAAGAUCCUUGUAGCUGGGAGCCAUGCCGACAACUUAGGCUGUCAGUGUGGAGGAUGGACUAUCACUUGGCAAGGAUGCAGUGGGAACAAUCUAACAAUUGGUAAACAUUCUAAACACCUUAGAUUGACUUUGUUUCUUAUUUCAGACAUAGCAGAGCAUGGUAAUGUUUUGAACUUCGAGCGAUCCUUUGCAACAGGAACCACAAUCCUUGAUGCCAUCAAGGCCAUUGUUGACACCACCACCAAGGUUGUCUACUCUGGAAAAUUAUCGAAGUGGAAUCUAGAUUAAGCUACAAGACCUAACAAGUGUUCACGUAUGAGAAGAAAAACACAAGCAACAGUGCACUUUUCUAUUUUUCCUUUUUUUAUUGAGGUUAACAAGAAAUGUUACUAACAUCUCUUUUCUUCGUUAGAAUCAUAAAGCAUAAAUUCGACUGUCUAACAAAUGUUUGUCCUUUACAUAAUCAAACAAAUAGAUCUGAUUUUUCUUUUCCCCCUUUAAUGGUAAAACACCAAAAAUACUGUGUUCAACAAGAAUGUCAAAUAUAGGAGAUAGUAGAUAUGAUACUACCAUAAAGUUUUCCUCAUAAUAAAAAAAGAAAGAUAGUACCAUAAACUAGAAAGCAUGAAAAAAAUAAUUAGCUGUCACUUCAAAUACUUACUAGAAGCCCUAAUUGUGAGAGAAACUUGAAUACGAAGAGCAUUUUAAGCCCUUUCAAUCUAAUUAUUUCAACACAAAUUUCUUAUCUUAUUUCAGACUAUAAACAUGCAGCGAAGGGGAAAAAUAUAUAAGACCGCCUGUUGCUUUCGCAUUCAAAUGAAAAAUAAAAAUGUAAGGACUCGCAGGCCUGAAUGAGGUGAAGGUUAGUAGGGUCUUCUCGUGGGUUGCUCGAAAAAACAAAAAGAAAAAAGAAAAAAAACUAAGGUGGUUCAUAGGAGGAGGCUUGCAGGUUUACUUUCCAUGUCAAUUGCCCAGUGAUUUGUCAUUUAACUAUAACUAGUCUAUGCACAAGGUUGACACAGUGGCAGUUCACUUAAUAUCCUGCAUGCACACAUAUGGCAGCAGAUAUCAGGAGGUAUUCCCAUAGACUGUAGGAGUGACAUUAUUGUUGAUUUCUGAACCAAUUCGGCCAAAGAUUGAAAAGUCAGCUAUAUCUUUUUAUAUGAUUCGUGAGUGCCAUUAAUUAUUGAAAACUAUUCACAAAUCACAAUCAGCACAACAUUCUAGAAUGGGGCUGUCUCGUAAAAAUAUCAGCUCAAUGUGCUACAGAUGGCCCUGUCCAGAUUGGGUUGAAAAGUUUUUGUUCACAUGAAACAGACAUCCUUCUAACAUUCUAGUUUUCUCUAACUGUUCCACUAUCAUAUCUAAAUAUUAUGGCGUUAUAAAUGUGAAAGAUCUUAACAUGAGCAUUUCUUAUUCGUCAGUGUCAAAGUUCCUCAUAGUUGUAUGGCCUCAUCUAGCAUAUAUCGGUAGAGCCAAAUUUGUCAUUUUCUUUGUUGUUCAAUUUAAAGCCCUUCUUGGGUCCUAAAUCUUAGAUACAGAAACCAGCUUUGUAGCAAACCAGAGUCCUUUUAGCCUAAAUGGCUUCUCCCCUCUGUUUCAAUGGUGAAACAUAGGGAGAAAAGAACGGAGAAUGCGAGCCCAACCAGGCCCGGCCCAAGCCCAGUGGCCAAUCCGGGCCGAGCCCAGGCACCCAGGGCACUGCAGGCUCAGCCGCGGUUGCCCUAGGGUACCCCGACGCGGCCGCAGGGCCGUCAGGCCCUGGCCGAGUCCCACCUCCCUCCGGUGAGGAGGUGGUGGCGCCACCACAGAGGGAGGAGGUGAAAAAGAGAAUAAAAGAAAAUAAAGAAAGAAAAAGAGGGGGGAAAAAGAGAGGAUCGUACCUGGGUCUCUCGCGCCUCCUUCUCGGUCACGGUGGUUCUCCUCCUCCGCCGUGGCCGGAUCGGGGUAAGGGAGGUCCCCGGAGACAAACUCACUCCGGCAUCACUUCGGAGGAAGUUUAGCCCCUCCCUCUCCCACUGCUCCCACCCUGGAGAAGGGCACCCCUCGGCCGCAGUCGCCGGAGCGGCUGCAGGCCGAGGAAGCGUCGGCCUCCUCAGGGGAGCUCCCAAGGGCUCGGCCCCACCUCGGGGACCCCGUUCGACUCCUCCGGCACCACUUCGGAGGAGGUCCAGGGCCUUCCCUUCUGCCGCUCCGAGGUAGGAGCAUCUCCCGGAGGAGGCUCACCCCACGGUGGCACGGCGAGAGGGAGAAGAGGAAGGGGGAGAAGCAAAGAGAGAGGAAGGAUGGGAGAAGGGCUCGGCCGGAGGUGAAAGAAGAAGAAAGAAAGGGGCUAGGGCUUCCGAGGGAGACGGAGGGGGGGAGAGAGAGAGGAGAAUGGAGACGAAGAGGCGAGAAAUCACUUGUACUACUAAAAAAUGGAAAGUUUACGGACAAUCCACUGUUGCCUCUUCCUAAGAAGGCCAAGAAGAUCCUUGUAGCUGGGAGCCAUGCCGACAACUUAGGCUGUCAGUGUGGAGGAUGGACUAUCACUUGGCAAGGAUGCAGUGGGAACAAUCAAACAAUUGGUAAACAUUCUAAAACACCUUAGAUUGACUUUGUUUCUUAUUUCAGACAUAGCAGAGCAUGGUAAUGUUUUGAACUUCGAGCGAUCCUUUGCAACAGGAACCACAAUCCUUGAUGCCAUCAAGGCCAUUGUUGACACCACCACCAAGGUUGUCUACUCUGGAAAAUUAUCGAAGUGGAAUCUAGAUUCAGCUACAAGACCUAACAAGUGUUCACGUAUGAGAAGAAAAACACAAGCAACAGUGCACUUUUCUAUUUUUCCUUUUUUUAUUGAGGUUAACAAGAAAUGUUACUAACAUCUCUUUUCUUCGUUAGAAUCAUAGAGCAUAAAUUCGACUGUCUAACAAAUGUUUGUCCUUUACAUAAUCAAACAAAUAGAUCUGAUUUUUCUUUUCCCCCUUUAAUGGUAAAACACCAAAAAUACUGUGUUCAACAAGAAUGUCAUAUAUAGGAGAUAGUAGAUAUGAUACUACCAUAAAGUUUUCCUCAUAAUAAAAAAAGAAAGAUAGUGCCAUAAACUAGAAAGCAUGAAAAAAAUAAUUAGCUGUCACUUCAAAUACUUACUAGAAGCCCUAAUUGUGAGAGAAACUUGAAUACGAAGAGCAUUUUAAGCCCUUU